rnacentral:rRNA from 1 species
GACGAACGCUGGCGGCGUGCUUAACACAUGCAAGUCGAACGGAAAGGCCCCUUUGGGGGUCCUCGAGUGGCGAACGGGUGAGUAACACGUGAGUAACCUGCCCUUGACUUCGGGAUAACUUCAGGAAACUGGGGCUAAUACCGGAUAGGAAUCCUUGCUGCAUGGUGGGGGUUGGAAAGCUUCGGCGGUUUUGGAUGGACUCGCGGCUUAUCAGCUUGUUGGUGGGGUAGUGGCUUACCAAGGCUUUGACGGGUAGCCGGCCUGAGAGGGCGACCGGCCACAUUGGGACUGAGAUACGGCCCAGACUCCUACGGGAGGCAGCAGUGGGGAAUAUUGCACAAUGGGCGGAAGCCUGAUGCAGCAACGCCGCGGGCGGGAUGACGGCCUUCGGGUUGUAACCGCUUUCGGCAGGGGCGAAGCUUGUGGUGACGGUACCUGCAGAAGAAGCACCGGCUAACUACGUG